GACGAACGCUGGCGGCGUGCCUAAUACAUGCAAGUCGAGCGAGCUGAAUUCAAAGAUCCCUUCGGGGUGAUUUGUUGGACGCUAGCGGCGGAUGGGUGAGUAACACGUGGGCAAUCUGCCCUAAAGACUGGGAUACCACUUGGAAACAGGUGCUAAUACCGGAUAACAACAUGAAUCGCAUGAUUCAAGUUUGAAAGGCGGCGUAAGCUGUCACUUUAGGAUGAGCCCGCGGCGCAUUAGCUAGUUGGUGGGGUAAAGGCCUACCAAGGCGAUGAUGCGUAGCCGAGUUGAGAGACUGAUCGGCCACAUUGGGACUGAGACACGGCCCAAACUCCUACGGGAGGCAGCAGUAGGGAAUCUUCCACAAUGGACGCAAGUCUGAUGGAGCAACGCCGCGUGAGUGAAGAAGGUUUUCGGAUCGUAAAGCUCUGUUGUUGGUGAAGAAGGAUAGAGGCAGUAACUGGUCUUUAUUUGACGGUAAUCAACCAGAAAGUCACGG
rnacentral:rRNA from 1 species